CCCACAGAACACCAAGUACUAUACUUUGCUACAUUACCUUGCAUGUAGGAACAGCUUAGUGGACAUCAGUGAUUGAGGAUUGACCCUGCAGCACUUGAAGUCUUAUACAUGGUUCAGUCUACUCUUCUAAGAACAAAUUUUCAGUUAUGAUGACUGUUUAUAAGUAGAGAGCACUGUUUUAGCUGAAACACUAUUGGAAGGAUAAAGAAUGUACACAUUGUUCACACUUCCCGUGCUGCCUGCUGAAUUGCCUUCCAGAAAGAUUCCAGAUGUUUUCACUCCAAAUAGCUGUGUGGGAGGACUAGGAGCGUGGCCACAUCAGCUAAGGAGAAUCGUGUGAACCAGAACCGACCAAUGACAAAUGGGAC